UACAGAGGUCCCAAGCGUUGUUCGGAUUCACUGGGCGUAAAGGGUGCGCAGGUGGUCGGGUAAGUCUGACGUGAAAUCCCGCAGCUUAACUGCGGAAUGGCAUUGGAUACUAUUCGGCUAGAGGGUUGGAGGGGGGACUGGAAUUCUCGGUGUAGCAGUGAAAUGCGUAGAUAUCAGGAGGAACACCGAUGGCGAAGGCAGGUCUCUGGGCAUUAACUGACGCUGAGGAGCGAAAGCAUGGGGAGCGAACAGG
rnacentral:rRNA from 1 species